rnacentral:lncRNA from 1 species
UCUUUUUUUUUCAAGUUUGAAUAAUAAGCAUCCCUUUAUUUGCUGACCGCCAUUACAAAAACUGAUUACAUUAGCAACAAAAGUGUCUUGAGUUGAUGUCAGAGGCAGUUACUCCCCCAAAGUGUUAAGUAAAACAGUGUACAACAUCAGUAUUAAAAUGUUAAAUUUUACAUUGUCUUUACCACUUUGAUCUUCUGAACAAUUGAAUUGAUCAAGGUAAAAUAUUACAAGUUUAUCUUCAGGAAUGUAAAGGUCUAAUUAUUCAAACAGUUUUUAUUAUAAAACUAAAUUCUGAAGGUGUCUACAGAGUUGGUUUCUUUUUAAAUUUUUCUCUUUAAAUCAGUAGUCUAACAAGGAUUAGAAAAGACAAAACUCUGUUCAGUGUUUCUGACAAAGUAGAAAGGGUAAAAACAUAAAUAAGGCUUUAAUUUGGCAAAAUAUAAUACAAUGCCUUCUGCUGUCCUCAACUGAAAUUUCCCAAUUACUUCACUCCAAACCUGGUAGUGUUAUUUCUCCUUUGUGAGCUGUUUACAGCCUGAAGCAACUGCUAUAACUGUGCUAUAGUCUGAUUUAGACUUACAGACAUCGUCUCCUUUUCUGAAGACUCCAUUUCUGGGGAAACAUCACUAUUCUCAAUAACAGUAGUAUCUCCAGAAGCUUGUACUAUUUUUGACUGGAUAAGAUCCAGAAACUGUUGUGCCUUAUCCAAAUCACCAGCUACCUUCUGUCUUUCACUUUGUUCAGUUUUAAUUUUCUUGAGUGUUUUAUUUAACUAUGUCUUCAACAAAUUUAGCUCUUCAUUCUGUCUUACUGCUUCAGAAUAUGAAUCAUCAAGUUUUUUCUGCAAUUCAGUCAACAGAUCUUUCAGCUCUCUCACUUCUGUAACAUAAGUAGACCGUUCAAUUUCUGCCUUCUCUAGUUUCAUUUCCAAAUGCUCUUGCUCUCUUCUCAGCUGCUUAAUUGUCUUCUGUAAUUCAUCCACCUUAACUUUCCAUUUAUUUUCCUCUUCCUCCACACUUUUCUGUAGCUCCUGUAAAAUUCCUUCUGUUUCUGCAAGAACUGAUUUAUACAUAUCACACUCCAGCUGUAAUAGUGUGUGUGUUUCAUCAGCUUCUUUCAACUUAUACUCUAAAACCUUAACUUCUUCUGAACCUGAAGUUCCAGCUAUACACUCUUUUGCUUUCUUUUCAAAUCCAUGCAACCAUUCACUGUAACUCUAAUUAGAAGGGAUAGACACCUUUGGAAAUAAUUUUUUAAGAACUUCUUUAGCUGGGCCGGGGAUUUAGCUCAGUGGUUCUGCCGCCUGCCUCGCAAACACAAAGACCUGAGUUUGAUCCUCGGUACAAAAAAAAAAAAGUGGAACUAGAGCUUGGCAAAUGGAAGGGGACCAAAAGUUAGAAGGAGCAAGGUACAAAAAAAAAAAAAAAAAAGAACUUCUUUAGCCUCCAACUCAACAGCUUCCACAUAUUGUCUUUCCUUGGAAGUCUUGUUCACUUUGUCCUGCAGCAUUUUUUCUGUUGAUGCCAGUGCUUCCAUUGCUUCCCAGUUUUUCUCCCGGAGGUCAUUGUUUUUCUUCCUCUGAUGUUCAACAGCAUCCUUCAAAGAAUCUAAUUCAUUCUGGAGACCAGUUCUUUCUUUCUCUCUUUCUGAAAUUACUUUUAAUAAUUCUUCAAUGAAUCUUUUUUUAUUCCCUCUUCCCCUUCUCCCUUCCUGUUCCUCCCAACUCUAGAUCUCCUUCCCAUUUGCAAAAGCUGCAUUUUCCUUUUUUCUUGUAUUCUUUUCCCUUCCUCC